UACGUAGGGUGCAAGCGUUUAAUCGGAAUUACUGGGCGUAAAGCGUGCGCAGGCGGUUAUGUAAGACAGAUGUGAAAUGCCCGGGCUUAACCUGGGAACUGCAUUUGUGACUGCAUGGCUAGAGUUUGGCAGAGGGGGUAGAAUUCCACGUGUAGCAGUGAAAUGCGUAGAUAUGUGGAGGAACACCGAUGGCGAAGGCAGCCCCCUGGGUCAAGAUUGACGCUCAUGCACGAAAGCGUGGGAGCAAACAGG
rnacentral:rRNA from 1 species